rnacentral:rRNA from 1 species
GAAUUGAAACAUCUUAGUACCCUCAGGAAAAGAAAUCAAUAGAGAUUGCGUCAGUAGCGGCGAGCGAAAGCGCAAGAGGGCAAACCCAGUGCUUGCACUGGGGGUUGUAGGACUGCAAUGUGCAAGAGGUAAGUUUAGCAGAACAUUCUGGAAAGUAUAACCAUAGAGGGUGAUAGUCCCGUAUGCGAAAAACAAACCUUAGCUAGCAGUAUCCUGAGUAGGGCGGGACACGAGGAAUCCUGUCUGAAUCUGGGUCGACCACGAUCCAACCCUAAAUACUAAUACCAGAUCGAUAGUGCACAAGUACCGUGAGGGAAAGGUGAAAAGAACUGAGGUGAUCAGAGUGAAAUAGAACCUGAAACCAUUUGCUUACAAUCAUUCAGAGCCCUAUGUAGCAAUACA